UACGUAGGGUGCAAGCGUUGUCCGGAAUUAUUGGGCGUAAAGGGCUCGUAGGCGGUCCGUCACGUCGGGAGUGAAAUCCUGGGGCUUAACCCCAGAACUGCUUCCGAUACGGGCAGACUAGAGGUAGGUAGGGGAGAAUGGAAUUCCUGGUGUAGCGGUGGAAUGCGCAGAUAUCAGGAGGAACACCAGUGGCGAAGGCGGUUCUCUGGGCCUUACCUGACGCUGAGGAGCGAAAGCAUGGGGAGCGAACAGG
rnacentral:rRNA from 1 species